GUCCAGCGCCGAUCCGGAUGCUCGAGGCCGAAGGAUGUUUGACCUCCGGAUAACUGAGGCGCCGCUGUGCAUUCAUUCCUGGCUGCAUCGGUGGCGACAGCAGCGGCCCCGGCGGCGACUCUCUGGCCAGCGGCGGCGGUAGAAGGCCCCGGAAGCAGAGUGGAGACUGAGUUCGGGCUGGCGCGCUUCUCUCCCGUCUCGCCUUCUCGGCCUGUUCGCUCCCUCGCGCGACUGCUCCCCUCCUCGGCCGCCGCGGGCGGGAUGCGCCGCUGCCCCGCCGCUGACUGACUGACUGACGGACGGGCGGGACGGACCCGCCGGGCCGCGCCUCUGAGGCAGGAGAGGUGUGUUCCAAGGUAACUGGCAGCGUUGGAGGAUACCAUAAUCUAGAAGCCUGUCCAAGUGCUUUUGGAUCCCAGUCUGUGCCUUGAGAGGUAUGAAAUACUGUCUUUAGUGAAUUGGCUCUGCCCCUGGCUAUAGUGUACAAUUACUGGAGGUAUAUUUUGGGCCAAUCCAAGUGGAUUGUCCUCAGUCCCAGGUACUUUGAAGGGAAGCUCUCUGGUCCCUGUUUUGGCCUUUCUAUAAGACUGUAGAGUCGCCACUCUUCACCUUGGAGGGUCUUAAGAGUCAUGAUUUUUGCUUCUGGAUUUGUAAAAUUAAAGCAGCCUGUCCACGGGAGUUGAAAGUUAUCUUGGCCUGAAGCUUUCCUAAUUAAAUCUUGACCCAUUAUAGCCAUGGGACAGUCAGGGAGGUAUAGGAAUGUUUAGAUGACCUCAUGGCCACCUAAAUUGCAUUUUCGGGGCAACAGGAAAGGGCACAUGUUCAAUUGCCCAUGGCCUCCACGAUGGUGGCCUGUGAAAGGGGCCCAUGGGUUGGGUCACCACAGAAUGUUUAGCUCCAGUGUCUAUCAUAAAGUCUAUAGCCACCGUACCCCCCCCCCCCCCAUCAUUAGAGCCAUAGGCUCCUGGGGGCCUAACAAAAUACAACCCAGUCUGUCCUAUUCCUCUCAUGUCCUCCCAUGGUGGCCAGUCCUAUAAAAUCAUCUUUUGGUGUUCUGUGUGGCUUCUGAACUGGCUGAUAUUGGCCCUGGACUACAUGUCUUGCCUUCUCUUGUUGUGGGGGGAGACUUUUCUACCUGGUAGGGGCAUUCAUCCUUCCAUUGUCCAUAUUUGCCACAGUAGGCACAUUGGUCCCAGUCUAGCUGUGUUCCCAGGUAGGGGGUGCCCUUCUGUUAGCUUCCCCAUUGGCUCUCCUGACUUCCGCAUAGGCCUCGUCCUCUGCCUCUGGGCAUGUAUUUAUGGGGCUGUCUAGAUCGUUUCGUAGGGGCGACUGCCAACAAGCCUGCUGAUACCUUGCAACUCUCCUCCCAUGGAGUCCCUGAUCUCAGUUGGUAAACACCUUGGUUGUAACUUCUAUCAAUUGGUUGGUGUUCAUUCCAGCAAAACUCUUCUGUAACUUUUGACUGGUAAACUCCUUAAGCUUGGGCACAUUCACUAUCUAUUGAUUCUCAGCCACUUCUAGAUCAAAGGGGGUAUAUGGAUGGAAUGUUUCGCAUAGCCUUUUGUAGAAUUGUCUUGGGCUUUCUCUGGCCCCCGGUGCACCUCUGACAUUUUGCUCAUGUUCAUGGCCCUUUUUCCUCCUUCCUUUAUCCUUUUUAGGAGGGCCUCCUGGUACCAUGUGAUUGAGGUGAGCUUUUCUUCCUUGUUCCAGUCCCACUGGGGAUCCUCUCCUGGGAAUUAGUUUCAGGAUGUAAGCCUGGGAUCCAAUGUUCCAGCCAAGGCACUUUAUUACAACUGUCAUAGGGCAGUUGUGUAACCCGGUGGUGCUCCUCAGUGUUAAAUAGGGUUAGGCAGAGUUGCUAGCAGUCAGUCCAUGUGGACUGGUGCGUCUGGAUCAUGGACUGCACCAUGUCAGUCAUUGCGUGGGGUUUCUCAGUAGAUAAAGGUGUGUGGUUCUUCCAAUUAAGGAGGUCAGUGGUGGUGAAGGGUUGAUAUAUUAACACUUGUUCCCCUCCUUGGAUCUGCCCCGUAGGUCAUAGUAAAUGGGUCCUUGUGUUUCUAAAAGUGGCAUCUGCGUGGCACCUUGCCGGGCCUGAGGUUUGGGCU
ensembl:lncRNA